GACGAACGCUGGCGGCGUGCCUAAUACAUGCAAGUUGAGCGCUGAAGGUUGGUACUUGUACCAACUGGAUGAGCAGCGAACGGGUGAGUAACGCGUGGGGAAUCUGCCUUUGAGCGGGGGACAACAUUUGGAAACGAAUGCUAAUACCGCAUAAAAACUUUAAACACAAGUUUUAAGUUUGAAAGAUGCAAUUGCAUCACUCAAAGAUGAUCCCGCGUUGUAUUAGCUAGUUGGUGAGGUAAGGCUCACCAAGGCGAUGGUACAUAGCCGACCUGAGAGGGUGAUCGGCCACAUUGGGACUGAGACACGGCCCAAACUCCUACGGGAGGCAGCAGUAGGGAAUCUUCGGCAAUGGACGAAAGUCUGACCGAGCAACGCCGCGUGAGUGAAGAAGGGUUUCGGAUCGUAAAACUCUGUUGGUAGAGAAGAACGUUGGUGAGAGUGGAAAGCUCAUCAAGUGACGGUAACUACCCAGAAAGGGACGGCUAACUACGUG
rnacentral:rRNA from 1 species